AAAGUCGUAACAAGGUUUCCGUAGGUGAACCUGCGGAAGGAUCAUUAACAGAUUCUGCUAGCCAGAUAUCUAACCCCGUGUGAACUGUUCUUUAGACUUGGUGCCCAAGACUUGAGGUUCCUGGAGAGACUAUCGAAAGACGCGUCUCAAAGGGAACCAUCAAGCCUAAGCACCAUCAUUUAUUACCCCCACUAACUUUGAAUGCUGAGUAACUUUACGAAAGACUUUGAAAACUUUUAGCAACGGAUCUCUAGGCUCUU
rnacentral:misc_RNA from 1 species